UGGCGGCGAUGCCUUACACAUGCAAGUCGAACGGCAGCACGGGAGCAAGUCCUGGUGGCGAGUGGCGAACGGGUGAGUAAUAUAUCGGAACGUGCCCAGUCGUGGGGGAUAACGUAGCGAAAGCUACGCUAAUACCGCAUACGAUCUAUGGAUGAAANCGGGGGAUCGCAAGACCUCGCGCGAUUGGAGCGGCCGAUAUCAGAUUAGGUAGUUGGUGAGGUAAAGGCUCACCAAGCCGACGAUCUGUAGCUGGUCUGAGAGGACGACCAGCCACACUGGGACUGAGACACGGCCCAGACUCCUACGGGAGGCAGCAGUGGGGAAUUUUGGACAAUGGGCGCAAGCCUGAUCCAGCAAUGCCGCGUGCAGGAUGAAGGCCUUCGGGUUGUAAACUGCUUUUGUACGGAACGAAACGGUGAGCUCUAAUACAGUUUGCUAAUGACGGUACCGUAAGAAUAAGCACCGGCUAACUACGUG
rnacentral:rRNA from 1 species